rnacentral:tRNA from 1 species
GCCGGCGUAUCCCAACGGCAGAGGAUGGGGUCCUAAACACCCCUCAGUGCGGGUUCGAGUCCCGCCGCCGGCA